rnacentral:rRNA from 1 species
CUUGUACACACCGCCCGUCACACCAUGAGAGUUUGUAACACCCAAAGUCGGUUGGAUAACCUUUUUAGGAGUCCGCCGCCUAAGGUGGGACAGAUGAUUAGGGUGAAGUCGUAACAAGGUAGCCGUAGGAGAACCUGCGGCUGGAUCACCUCCUU